GACGAACGCUGGCGGCGUGCUUAACACAUGCAAGUCGAACGGAAAGGCCCUGCUUUUGUGUGGUUCUCGAGUGGCGAACGGGUGUGUAACACGUGAGUAACCUUCCCUUUACUUUGUGAUAACUUCAGGAAACUGGUGCUAAUACCUGAUACGAGCUCCUGCUGCAUGGUGGGGGUUGGAAAGUUUCGGCGGUUGUGGAUGGACUCGCGGCUUAUCAGCUUGUUGGUUGGGUAGUGGCUUACCAAGGCUUUGACGGAUAGUCGGCCUGAGAGGGUGAACGGGGACAAUGGGACUGAGAUACGGAGCAGAGUGGUACGGGAGGCAGCAGUGGGGAAUAUUGCACAAUGGGGGGAAGUGUGAGGAAGAAGCGCCGCGUGCGGGAUGACGGCCUUCGGGUGGUAAAGCGCUUUCGGCUGUGACGAAGCGUGAGUGACGGUAAUGGGUAAAGAAGCACCGGCUAACUACGUG
rnacentral:rRNA from 1 species